GGGAACCCUGACGGAGCAACGCCGCGUGCGGGAGGACGGCCUUAGGGUUGUAAACCGCUUUUAACAGGGAAGAAGAACUGACGGUACCUGUUGAAUAAGCCUCGGCUAACUCCGUGCCAGCAGCCGCGGUAAGACGGAGGAGGCAAGCGUUAUCCGGAAUGAUUGGGCGUAAAGCGUCCGCAGGUGGCGAUGCAAGUCUGCUGUCAAAACCCAGGGCUCAACUCUGGUCAGGCAGUGGAAACUACAAAGCUAGAGUCUGGUAGGGGCAAAGGGAAUUCCCGGUGUAGCGGUGAAAUGCGUAGAGAUCGGGAAGAACAUCGGUGGCGAAAGCGCUUUGCUAGACCAGAACUGACACUCAGGGACGAAAGCUAGGGGAGCG
rnacentral:rRNA from 1 species